GUACUUGAUUAAUGACUGUUGAGGACUAUUUUCAAAUUAUUUGGGCUUCCUGAAUUAGCAGAUGUAUGUAAAGAGUUGUCUUUCCACCUUUCAAAUACACACAUCUUCAGCUAAAGGUACGCUCUUCAGACAAUGAGAAUCACUCUCAAAUAUAAGGGAAGAGUGAGUAAGGUGCUUGACCAGCAGGCCAUCACGAGGGUUGACGCAGCUGGGGUAACUGAAGACCAGUGAAGAAGUGUGGAGCCACAGAGACAGCGGGAAGCUUUGCUCUGCUCUUCGGCUCUCCUUAUGACCCUGAGGCCCUGCAGAUGGCAUGCCACCUUCCCAGUCAUUUGUUGCUAUUUAGUCACUUAAGUCGUGCCUGACUCUUUGAGACCCAUGCACUGUAGCCCAUCAGGCUCCUCUGUCCAUGGGGUUCUCCAGGCAAGAAUGCUGAAGUGGGUCACCAUGCCCUCCUCCAGGGGAUCUUCCUGACCCCGGGAUGAAACCCAAGUCUCCUGCGGCUCCUGCAUUGCAGCCGGAUUUCCCAGUCAUAUGAAUCAUUAUAACUGAUACCUGUGAAGAAGAACCUGCACUCUUCUCAUUAGACUUCUUCGGAGAGAGCUUUAGAGGGCACUAGUUACUAGCUUUCUUACAUACCCUGUUCUUGACCCAUUUGUAUAGAUAUGAUUAAGAUGCAGACAGACGUCCAUAGUUGUUAUGUCCGGGUGAUGAGGGAUUUUCUUUUUUUUCGGUUGGCCUUCAUUGCCACACAGGCUCUGCUGUGGUUACAGUGCACUGGGAUGUCUCUAGUUGCAGCGUGCGGGCAGGCUCUCGUCAUGGUGGCUUCUCUUGUUGCAGGGCGUGGGCUCUGUGGCGUGCGGGCCUCAGUAGUUACGGCACGUGGGCUCAGUAGUUGCCAUUCCCACGCUCUAGAGCACAGGUUCCGUAGUUGGAGCACGUGCUUCCCAGACCAGGGAUCCAACCUGUGUCUCCUGCAUGGGCUGGUGGAUUCUUUACCUCUGAGCCACCAGGGAGGCCUUGAGUGGGAUUUUAAACAUGUGUUCUUACUCCUUUCGUUAUUUCAGAGUCAGCAGUUUCUCCAAAGUUGGUAUCAGCAUAAUCUGAUUCAGUGAAAGUGAAAGUUGCUCAGUCAUGUCCAACUCUUCCGUGGAAUUCUCCAGGCCAGAAUUUUGGAGUGGGUAGCUGUUCCCUUCUCCAGGAGAUCUUCCCAACCCAGGGAUUGAACCCAGGUCUGCCACAUUGCAGGAGGAUUCUUUACCAGCUGAGCCACAAGGAAAGUCCAAUAAUGUUGGAGUGGGUAGCCUAUCCCUUCUCCAGUGGAUCUUCCCAACCUAGGAAUCAAACUGGGGUCUUCAUUGCAGGUGGAUUCUUUACCAGCUGAGCUAUCUGAUUCAAAAUAUCCUGAAAGCUUUAUGUCUUCAAUAAGCGUUCUAGCCCCUUAAUAAAUCUGAACUCACCAGCUCUACUUCCAUUAAGCUCAAAAUAGAGUGAAUGUCCAGAGGAGACAGGACUCCUGGUGCCCGAGAGAGUCAUGAAGUAUAGUAGUAAGUCAGGUGGUCCCUUCCACCUAAGGUGAGCAAGUUUCCACCCAAGGAAAGAUCAGAUCUCUUCAGGCCAAUCGUUUAUGGGAACAGAAAUGAGACAGCUGAAAAUGGCAGGCAUUUUGCCUGUUAACACUAAGGCGUUUUAGUUGAAAAUGUUGAUAUUGAUAGUUGGAGUGAAAAAUAAGAAUUUUCCAUAAGGAAAUUCUCAGAGUCUCCGGUUGGUCAGGAGUCAACAACCAGAGUGUCUUCUGUUUGUACGGUGUCUCCUAGAAUAAAUGUACGUGGCUCUACGUGGGUAAAUGAAAUUCUAAAUAAAAGCCAUAUAUUUAAGAAGGGGAAAUAUUUAUCUGAAGACCAAAGCAAAGCUCAAAAAAAAAGUAACCUCAACAUUUUGAGUGUUGUAAGACCUCCAUGUCUUUGUUUUAACUCUUCUCUGCCCAGAAUGUUUUUUCUCCUCCCCAGUACAGGAAAGACUAAGGUCAAGGUGUUACCUCAUCUGUUGAAACAGGCCAGGCUUCCCUUGUGUCCACCACCCCCCUUGACCUAGUACUGGCUCCUGGUAUGACCCUUGGGCCUGCGUUUAUUAGUCGGGUGCAUCUCACCCACCUUCCCCUCCCCGCCCUCUCCUCUAAGAGUGUCUUGGUUAUUCACCCUUCACAUCCUCAGGGAUAGGAGGUAGUCACUCAGGUGCCAUCAAAUCGACCUUUCUCGUCUUGCUCUCCCACUCGUCACUUUUUCCCUGCUGAGAGCAGAGAGAGAGAUUUAUGGAUACUCUCUUUUUCCUUCCAUCAUCUCUCUCUCUCUCUGCCCCCUUCUCCAUCCAGUAGCAUUCUAUUCCCUCAACACUCCUACCUAAGGAUGGAUUUGCAGAAAAAUAACAGAAACCACUAUCUUUCACCAGAUGGCAUAGCACAGGCCACUCCGGGCUAGACAGUCUGCAACCAGCUGGUGUGAUCUGGUCCACAAGGCCUGGGCCUCUGUGCUCCCAGCCUCACGCUGGUCAUUCCCAAUGCCAUGUAUGUGUGUCUUUGAGUUUUACCCACAGGCCCUUCUGUAGAUAUCUCUAGUCCUGGCCCAAGUUAUAAUAUCGAUUCUUUUCUUUUCCUGUAACUCCUGGGAAUUGUCCCAGUAAAUUUCAACUGACCGGUUGGUGUUUUAUUGUUUGCUUCUUACCCUAGAAAGCCUUAUAGCAUAGGCCACAGAGGGACUGCUUAUGAAGAGUUCAGUAUAGUUUGCAUUUAUUUCUAUAGAAAGUUGAGCUUCAGGCCCUUGAUCAAAUCAGAAUAUAACCCUCUGUUACAGCAUUGUUCCUGUGAAUUUGUCCACGUCAGUGUUAAGUGGUUCUCUGUGAAAGGCCCCUGGUCAUACCUUUGAGGGUCCCCCUUCCAUACCCCUAUGAUCCUUUCCCACCAUGACUAGUAACAGAAGGAGAAGAGGGAGUCAGAGGAUAAAAUGGCUGGAUGGCAUCACUGAUGCAAUGGACAUGAACUUGGGCAAACUCAGGGAGAUGGUGAGAGAGAGGGGGGCCUGGCCUGCUGCAGUCCAUGGGAUCGCAAAGAGUUGGAUAUGACUGGGUGGCCAAACAGCAACAAAUAACAGAAAAUUCUACAUGAGCCUCAGACUGAGACUUUUAGGGCCCAUGCCAUGGUGUCUGCCCUAAUACCAAGAUCCUUUGUCAUCUUGGUAACUAAAGGCAAUCACCAUCAAAUUUUGUGUCAUGGCAACUUGUGUUCACAAUUUCUAGUGUGAUUUCAUGCUUAGUAUUCAGUCCCUGGUUUCUAGGAUGUGAAUGAGCCUGAUUUUCUGAAUUUCUGUUCACUGAUUCCACUCACUUCUUCAAGGACCUUUCUUUUCUUAUGAGCAUGGUUUCCAAGCUGAGAUUAGUGCAGAGUAAGCCCAAGUCCAGCCGGGAGCAGAAAUGUCUGGAGAAGGUGUACCGUCCUGAUGUGGAUUACACAUUCCUGGACUGCUGAGCCAGCGUCCAAGAUAAAGUCUGGGGAGAAACAGCUGUGAUUUGGGUGAUUACACGUUUAGCAUGGUCAGAGAAGUUUGUGUUACAACUUGCUGAUCCCUCUUGGCUCAGACAGUCUGCACUCUAUGAUGUCUCAGUUGGGCUGAUACAGAGGCACAGGCCUGGCCAGAGAGAUGAGUUUUUGCUAUGAAGAUUUCAGACAGGCUGUCUGCCCUCUUUAGGUAUCUGAGGGCUCAGGCAAGACUAGUUCUACCAAACUAACUCACAUUGCAUACCAUGUUUUAAACGGCACUUUCAUAAUUGAUUUCUUUCAUUUGCCCCUCAUGUGAUGAGGGUUUCCAUUUGACCAUUGGAAAAAAAUCCAUGGUUUGCUGCCCCAUCACCCUAGCCACUGUGUUAGCUAUUGCCUCAUUUUCUUUCAUGAUUUUGAUCCAUUUUCCUUUUAAGAGCCUCUAUUAUAUAAAGGCAUUUUAUCAAAAGCUUCCUCAGAUCCCUUUUUUGGAGCGAUCAAGGCAGGACUUAAAUAUACGAGUAACUUGCACAAUAUUAAGGAACCAGUCAGUGACAGAAUUAAUACUUGGAACUUGGUUGUCCUCAAGCAACCUGGGCUUUACACACCUUACAGCUCACACCUCUCUGCUCUUGGUUUUUCCCUCCCUUUCUCUCCCCCGCCCCACAGAGGCUCAGGGAUAUAUAUGUCUGUAUCAUGAGUCACCUAACUUUACCCUCUCCUACCUUCCUAAUGGUCUUAAUAACAUCUGAUAUAGCCACGCUACACUUAACAAAGCUAAGAAAUUAAUAUUGGACGAAUACUAUUAACAGAACAGUCUUUUGUCUACUUUUAAAUGCCUUUUCAAGACUCCGUUUUUAAAGUAAUGCUGAAUUUUAAGACAGAGAAUGAAAAUACUCAACAAUAAUAUCCAGGCUCUAGGGAAACAGGAGUAUAAGUCCAAAAUAAUGGAUUUUACCUUCAUAAUAGCUGUGAAAAGAAGAGACGUGAAAAGCAAAGGAGAAAAGGAAAGAUAUAAGCAUCUGAAUGCAGAGUUCCAAAGAAUAGCAAGAAGAGAUAAGAAAGCCUUCCUCAGCAAUCAAUGCAAAGAAAUAGAGGAAAACAACAGAAUGGGAAAAACUAGAGAUCUCUUCAAGAAAACUAGAGAUACCAAGGGAACAUUUCAUGCAAAGAUAGGCUCGAUAAAGGACAGAAAUGGUCUGGACCUAACAGAAGCAGAAGAUAUUAAGAAGAGGUGGCAAGAAUACAUGGAAGAACUGUACAAAAAAGAUCUUCAUGACCCAGAUAAUCAUGAUGAUGUGAUCACUAAUCUAGAGCCAGACAUCUUGGAAUGUGAAGUCAAGUGGGCCUUCGAAAGCAUCACUACGAACAAAGCUAGUGGAGGUGAUGGAAUUCCAGUUGAGCUGUUUCAAAUCCUGAAAGAUGAUGCUAUGAAAGUGCUGCACUCGAUAUGCCAGCACAUUUGGAAAACUCAGCAGUGGCCACAGGACUGGAAAAGGUUCGUUUUCAUUCCAAUUCCAAAGAAAGGCAAUGCCAAAGAAUGCUCAAACUACUGCACAAUUGCACUCAUCUCACACGCUAGUAAAGUAAUGCUCAAAAUUCUCCAAGCCAGGCUUCAGCAAUACAUGAACCGUGAACUCCCUGAUGUUCAAGCUGGUUUUCGAAAAGGCAGAGGAACCAGAGAUCAAAUUGCCAACAUCUGCUGGAUCAUGGAAAAAGCAAGAGAGUUCUAGAAACACAUCUAUUUCUGCUUUAUUGACUAUGCCAAAGCCUUUGACUGUGUGGAUCACAAUCAACUGUGGAAAAUUCUGAAAGAGAUGGGAAUACCAGACCACCUAACCUGCCUCUUGAGAAAUCUGUAUGCAGGUCAGGAAGCAACAGUUAGAACUGGGCAUGGAACAACAAACUGGUUCCAAAUAGGAAAAGGAGUAUGUCAAGGCUGUAUAUUGUCACCCUGCUUAUUUAACUUCUAUGCAGAGUACAUCAUGAGAAAUGCUGGACUGGAAGAAACACAAGCUGGAAUCAAGAUUGCCGGGAGAAAUAUCAAUAACCUCAGAUAUGCAGAUGACACCAUGCUUAUGGCAGAAAGUGAAGAGGAGCUAAAAAGCCUCUUGAUGAAAGUGAAAGAGGAGAGUGAAAAAGUUGGCUUAAAGCUCAACAUUCAGAAAAUGAAGAUCAUGGCAUCCGGUCCCAUCACUCCAUGGGAAAUAGAUGGGAAACAGUGUCAGACUUUAUUUUUGGGGCUCCAAAAUCACUGCAGAUGGUGAUUGCAGCCAUGAAAUUAAAAGACGCUUACUCCUUGGAAGAAAAGUUAUGACCAACCUAGAUAGUACAUUCAAAAGCAGAGACAUUACUUUGCCGACUAAGGUCCGUCUAGUCAAGGCUAUGGUUUUUCCAGUGGUCAUGUAUGGAUGUGAGAGUUGGACUGUGAAGAAGGCUGAGCGCCGAAGAACUGAUGCUUUUGAACUGUGGUGUUGGAGAAGACUCUUGAGAGUCCCUUGGACUGCAAGGAGAUCCAACCAGUCCAUUCUGAAGGGGAUCAACCCUGGGAUUUCUUUGGAAGGAAUGAUGCUAAAGCUGAAACUCCAGUACUUUGGCCACCUCAUGCGAAGAGUUGACUCAUUGGAAAAGACUGAUGCUGGUAGGGAUUGUGGGCAGGAGGAGAAGGGGACGACCGAGGAUGAGAUGGCUGGAUGGCAUCACAGACUCGAUGGACAUGAGUCUGAGUGAACUCCAGGAGAUGGUGAUGGACAGGGAGGCCUGGUGUGCUGCGAUUCAUGGGGUCGCAAAGAGUCGGACGCGACUGAGCAACUGAACUGAACUGAAUAUAUUCAAGACUGCUCAAUACAUGAAAAUCCCAUGGGCAGAGGAACCUCGUAGGCUGCAGUCCAUGGGGGUCGCUAAGACUCAGACACAACUGAGUGACUUCACUUUCACUUUUCACUUUCAUGCAUUGGAAAAGGAAAUGGCAACCCACUCCAGUGUUCUUGCCUGGAGAAUCCCAGGGAUGCGGGAGCUUGGUGGGCUGCAGUCUAUGGGGUCGCACAGAGUCGGACACGACUGAAGCGACUUAGCAGCAGCAGCAGCAGCAGCAAUGGCAAAUAAGUCAUUAGGCAACUUGCUAAAAUGACACUAAUGUUUCAAAAGAGAUUUUUAAAAGAUG
ensembl:lncRNA